rnacentral:rRNA from 1 species
GGGCCCGCACAAGCGGUGGAGCAUGUGGUUUAAUUCGAUGCAACGCGAAAAACCUUACCAGGCCUUGACAUCCUGAGAACUUUCUAGAGAUAGAUUGGUGCCUUCGGGAGCUCAGUGACAGGUGUUGCAUGGCUGUCGUCAGCUCGUGUCGUGAGAUGUUGGGUUAAGUCCCGUAACGAGCGCAACCCUUAUCCUUAUUUGCCAGCACGUAAUGGUGGGAACUCUAAGGAGACUGCCGGUGACAAACCGGAGGAAGGAGAGGAUGAUGUCAAGUCAUCAUGGCCCUUACGGCCUGGGCUACACACGUGCUACAAUGGAGAGUACAGAGGGCUGCAAACCCGCGAGGGGGAGCUAAUCCCAAAAACUUUCGUAAGUCCGGAUCGGAGUCUGCAACUCGACUCCGUGAAGUCGGAAUC